UACAGAGGUCCCGAGCGUUGUUCGGAUUCAUUGGGCUUAAAGGGUGCGUAGGUGGCGAGGUAAGUCGGAUGUGAAAGCUCGGAGCUCAACUCCGAAAUGGCAUUGGAAACUACCUUGCUCGAGGGUUGGAGGGGGGACUGGAAUACUUGGUGUAGCAGUGAAAUGCGUAGAUAUCAAGUGGAACACCAGUGGCGAAGGCGAGUCCCUGGACAACUCCUGACACUGAGGCACGAAAGCUAGGGGAGCAAACAGG
rnacentral:rRNA from 1 species